CAAACUCCUGGGCUUGAGCAAUCCUUCUGUCUCAGCCUCCCAAGUGUAGCUGGGACUACAGGCACACGCCACCAUGCCCAGCUAAUUUUUUUUUUUAAUGUAGAGAUAAGAGUCUCACUAUGUUGCCCAGGUUGAUCUCAAACUCCUGGUCUCAAGAGAUCCUCCCACCUCAGCCUCCCAGAGUCAGAACCCAGAUCUUGGAGCUCUUCUUUUCUUCAUCUAUACCACUGCUUCCUUGAUAAGAGAUCAAGACAUAUACAAAUUAGUCUUUGAAAGAUCUUUCACCUUGUUCAAAGUUAAGAUCCUGUGAACACCAGAAUUGUUCCGCGGCCUCUUCACUAUUGAUUGCAACAGUAUCAUUUACCUGAAGCUACACAGUGACCACAAAAACCAUGUCCAGGACACCAAAUUUCUACUGCGAACUCUAGGGUGAGACACUAAAUUCCUCACGAGCCUUUCUCUGCGAGUCCAAAAUUCAGCCACAUUUCCUAAGAGGCACCUGUACUUGUCUAUUUCAAUGCAGCCAGAAGCUGACGACGGCCCAGGAACCAGGACUGCUUUCAGGAGGCGCUCAGAAGGGCAGCAAAGUACCCUCUCAACAUUAGUAAAAUGAAACAAAAGUGUCAGCCUUGGCUUCGCACACACUUACCCGUUCAUGACAUUGGGAACAGAGAAGGCUAUGGCAGAGUGGAG
rnacentral:lncRNA from 1 species